rnacentral:rRNA from 1 species
GACGAACGCUGGCGGCGUGCUUAACACAUGCAAGUCGAACGGAAAGGCCCUGCUUUUGUGGGGUGCUCGAGUGGCGAACGGGUGAGUAACACGUGAGUAACCUGCCCUUGACUUUGGGAUAACAUCAGGAAACUGGGGCUAAUACCGGAUAGGAGCUCCUGCUGCAUGGUGGGGGUUGGAAAGUUUCGGCGGUUGGGGAUGGACUCGCGGCUUAUCAGCUUGUUGGUGGGGUAGUGGCUUACCAAGGUUUUGACGGGUAGCCGGCCUGAGAGGGUGACCGGCCACAUUGGGACUGAGAUACGGCCCAGACUCCUACGGGAGGCAGCAGUGGGGAAUAUUGCACAAUGGGCGGAAGCCUGAUGCAGCAACGCCGCGUGCGGGAUGACGGCCUUCGGGUUGUAAACCGCUUUCGCCUGUGACGAAGCGUGAGUGACGGUAAUGGGUAAAGAAGCACCGGCUAACUACGUG